rfam:Mesocricetus auratus contig013849, whole genome shotgun sequence.
GGGAGAUGGCUCAGUGGUUAAGAGCACUAGAUGCUCUUCUAGAGGACCAGGGUUCAAUUCCUAGCACCCA